AUUGAACGCGGGCGGCAGGCUUAACGCAUGCAAGUCGAGCGGAGUUGAGGUGCUUGCACCUUAUCUUAGCGGCGGACGGGGGAGUAAUGCUUAGGAAUCUGCCUAUUAGUGGGGGACACCAUUCCGAAAGAAAUGCUAAUACCGCAUACGUCCUACGGGAGAAAGCAGGGGAUCUUCGGACCUUGCGCUAAUAGAUGAGCCUAAGUCGGAUUAGCUAGUUGGUGGGGUAAAGGCCUACCAAGGCGACGAUCUGUAGCGGGUCUGAGAGGAUGACCCGCCACACUGGGACUGAGACACGGCCCAGACUCCUACGGGAGGCAGCAGUGGGGAAUAUUGGACAAUGGGCGGAAGCCUGAUCCAGCCAUGCCGCGUGUGUGAAGAAGGCCUUUUGGUUGUAAAGCACUUUAAGCGAGGAGGAGGCUACCUGGAUUAAUACUCUAGGAUAGUGGACGUUACUCGCAGAAUAAGCACCGGCUAACUCUGUGCCAGCCGCCGCGGUAAGAC
rnacentral:rRNA from 1 species